rnacentral:rRNA from 1 species
UGCCUAUAGAAAGAAUUAUAGGUAAGGCCUGCUCCAUGAAUUAUAUUUAAAUAGCUGCAGGAGACUGUACUAAGGUAGCAUAGUCACUAGUUUUUUAAUUGAAAACUGGAAUGAAGGGUUUAAUGAUUGGAUUAUUUUUUUCUUUAAUAAAAUUGAAUUUUAGUCGGUAGUUAAAAAGCUAUCAAGAUUUUUAGGGACGAGAAGACCCUAUAAAGCUUGAUUUUUCUGAUUAGGUUAAGCUUAUUUAAGAAAAGUUUUAUUGGGGUAAUAGAGUAAGAUAAAGGAUUUUAUUCAGGGAGCCAAAAUUUUUGAGUAUUAGAAUAAGUUACUUUAGGGAUAACAGCAUAAUAAAAUUAAUGAAGUACUUAUUUGUUAAUUUGUUUGUGACCUCGAUGUUGGAUUAAUAUUAUCUGAGGGUGAAGUAGCUCUUGAGGAUAGUCUGUUCGACUAUUAAAAUAUUACA